GAAUGAUGGGAAUUUAAACCUCUUCCAGAGUAUCAAUUGGAGGGCAAGUCUGGUGCCAGCAGCCGCGGUAAUUCCAGCUCCAAUAGCGUAUAUUAAAAUUGUUGCAGUUAAAAAGCUCGUAGUUGAAUUUCUGCUGCAUUGCUUGUGUCCCUCUGGGGUCUGUGCAUGUGGCUUUUUUCGGACGGAGUUUCUUUGUCUGAAUGUUUACUUUGAGAAAAUUAGAGUGCUCAAAGCAGGCUUUCGCCUUGAAUAGUUUAGCAUGGAAUAAUAAAGUAGGACUUUGGUUCUAUUUUGUUGGUUUUAGGUACCAAAGUAAUGGUUAAUAGGAACAGUUGGGGGCAUUCGUAUUUAACUGUCAGAGGUGAAAUUCUUAGAUUUGUUAAAGACGAACUACUGCGAAAGCAUUUGCCAAGGAUGUUUUCAUUAAUCAAGAACGAAAGUUAGGGGAUCGAAGACGAUCAGAUACCGUCGUAGUCCUAACCAUAAACUAUGCCGACUAGAGAUUGGAGGUCGUCAGUUUUUACGACUCCUUCAGCACCUUGAGAGAACAAGCUUUU
rnacentral:rRNA from 1 species